UGGGGAAUAUUGGUCAAUGGGCGAGAGCCUGAACCAGCCAAGUCGCGUGAAGGAAGACUGCCUUAUGGGUUGUAAACUUCUUUUAUACAGGAAUAAAAAGGCUUACGUGUAGGCCAUUGCAAGUACUGUAUGAAUAAGCAUCGGCUAACUCCGUGCCAGCAGCCGCGGUAAUACGGAGGAUGCGAGCGUUAUCCGGAUUUAUUGGGUUUAAAGGGUGCGCAGGCGGGCUUUUAAGUCAGCGGUGAAAUCUGGACGCUUAACGUCCAAACUGCCGUUGAAACUGGGAGUCUUGAGUAUGGAUGAAGUAGGCGGAAUUCGUUGUGUAGCGGUGACAUGCAUAGAUAUAACGAGGAACUCCGAUUGCGUAGGCAGCUUACUAAGCCAUAACUGACGCUCAUGCACGAAAGCGUGGGGAUCAAACAGGAUUAGAGUACCCUGGUAGUCCACGCCGUAAACGAUGAUUACUGUUGAUAUGCGAUAAUGAUAGUAUGCGACUAGCGAAGCGAUAAGUAAUCCACCUGGGAGUACGCCGGCAACGGUGAAACUCAAAGGAAUUGACGGGGU
rnacentral:rRNA from 1 species